UACGUAGGGGGCAAGCGUUAUCCGGAUUUACUGGGUGUAAAGGGGGCGCAGACGGCAGCGCAAGCCAGGAGUGAAAGCCCGGGGCCCAACCCCGGGACUGCUCUUGGAACUGCGCGGCUGGAGUGCAGGAGGGGCAGGCGGAAUUCCUGGUGUAGCGGUGAAAUGCGUAGAUAUCAGGAGGAACACCGGUGGCGAAAGCGGCUCUCUGGCCUGUAACUGACGCUGAGGUUCGAAAGCGUGGGUAGCAAACAGG
rnacentral:rRNA from 1 species